AACGAACGCUGGCGGCAGGCCUAACACAUGCAAGUCGAGCGAGAUCUUCGGAUCUAGCGGCGGACGGGUGAGUAACGCGUGGGAAUAUGCCCUUCUCUACGGAAUAGCCCUGGGAAACUGGGAGUAAUACCGUAUACGCCCUACGGGGGAAAGAUUUAUCGGAGAAGGAUUAGCCCGCGUUGGAUUAGGUAGUUGGUGGGGUAAUGGCCUACCAAGCCUACGAUCCAUAGCUGGUUUGAGAGGAUGAUCAACCACACUGGGACUGAGACACGGCCCAGACUCCUACGGGAGGCAGCAGUGGGGAAUCUUAGACAAUGGGGGAAACCCUGAUCUAGCCAUGCCGCGUGAGUGAUGAAGGCCUUAGGGUUGUAAAGCUCUUUCAGCUGGG
rnacentral:rRNA from 1 species